UACCAGCUCUCCGAGUGGUAGGGAUGAUUAUUGGGCUUAAAGCGUCCGUAGCCGGCUUAGCAAGUUUCCUGUUAAAUUCAGCGACCUAAUCGUUGAGCCGCGGGAAAUACUACUAGGCUAGGAGGCGGGAGAGGUCGACGGUACUUCUGGGGUAGGGGUGAAAUCCUAUAAUCCCGGGAGGACCACCAGUGGCGAAGGCUGUCGACUAGAACGCGCUCGACGGUGAGGGACGAAAGCUGGGGGAGCGAACCGGAUUAGAUACCCGGGUAGUCCCAGCUGUAAACGAUGCGGGCUAGGUGUUGGGGUGGCUACGUGCCACUUCAGUGCCGCAGGGAAGCCAUUAAGCCCGCCGCCUGGGGAGUACGGCCGCAAGGCUGAAACUUAAAGGAAUUGGCGGGGGAGCACCACAAGGCGUGAAGCUUGCGGUUC
rnacentral:rRNA from 1 species